UAAAAGAGCCAAUUUUAAAAGUUAUACUUUUAAAAUCGGUUAAAUAAUUGAUUUUAAAAGUGGACUUUUAAGAUUGGUUAUUUUA
rnacentral:miRNA from 1 species